rnacentral:rRNA from 1 species
GAUAGCCUUCGGGUUGUAAACCUCUUUUAGCAGGGAAGAAGCGAAAGUGACGGUACCUGCAGAAAAAGCGCCGGCUAACUACGUGCCAGCAGCCGCGGUAAUACGUAGGGCGCAAGCGUUAUCCGGAAUUAUUGGGCGUAAAGAGCUCGUAGGCGGUUUGUCGCGUCUGCUGUGAAAUCCGGAGGCUCAACCUCCGGCCUGCAGUGGGUACGGGCAGACUAGAGUGCGGUAGGGGAGAUUGGAAUUCCUGGUGUAGCGGUGGAAUGCGCAGAUAUCAGGAGGAACACCGAUGGCGAAGGCAGAUCUCUGGGCCGUAACUGACGCUGAGGAGCGAAAGGGUGGGGAGCAAACAGGCUUAGAUACCCUGGUAGUCCACCCCGUAAACGUUGGGAACUAGUUGUGGGGUCCAUUCCACGGAUUCCGUGACGCAGCUAACGCAUUAAGUUCCCCGCCUGGGGAGUACGGCCGCAAGGCUAAAACUCAAAGGAAUUGACGGGGACCGCACAAGCGGCGGAGCAUGCGGAUUAAUUCGAUGCAACGCGAAGAACUUACCAAGGCUUGACAUAUACGAGAACGGGCCAGAAAUGGUCAACUCUUUGGACACUCGU